rnacentral:lncRNA from 1 species
CUUCACUGGCCACACCUUCUGAAUCUCCUUUGCUGGUGCAAAAGUCCUCAGCGAAAGACAUUCAGAAAAUAAUUCACAAUAUUUUCUUCAACCAGCAGUCUUUGAAACAAGUUGAUUUCACAAAAGGCCUACUAUGUGCAAGUUGCUAGACUUCUAUCUCAUGCCAUUGGACACACUGCUUGAGCAGAGGAAGCUUUGGAUUUGUUUAACAUAGGCACGAAAACCGAUCCUAUUAUAAGCAAUAUCUGUACACAGGGAUUAAUCAAUCAACAAACAUUUAU